GUGCUUGCUUUGGCAGAACAUAUACUAAAAUUGGAACAACACAAAAAAGAUUAGCAUGGUCCCUGCACAAGGAUGACAUGCAAAUUCGUGAAGGGUUUCAUAUUUUU
ensembl:snRNA U6 U6 spliceosomal RNA